rnacentral:rRNA from 1 species
CCUACGGGUGGCAGCAGUGAGGACUAUUGGUCAAUGGGCGCGAGCCUGCACCAGCCAAGUAGCGUGAAGGAUGACUGCCCUACGGGUUGUAAACUUCUUUUAUAAAAGAAUAAAGUGAGGCACGUGUGCCUUUUUGUAUGUCAUUUAUGAAUAAUGAUCGGCUAACUCCGUGCCAGCAGCCUCGGUAAUACGUAGGAUCCGAGCUUUAUCCGGAUUUAUUGGGUUUAAAGGGAGCGUAGAUGGGUUGUUAAGUCAGUUGGGAAAUUUUGCGGCUCAACCGUAACAUUGAAAUUGAUACUGGCAGUCUUGAGUACAGUUGAGGUAGGCGGAAUGCGUGGUGUAGCGGUGAAAUGCUUAGAUAUCACGAAGAACUCCGAUUGCGAAGGCAGCUUACUAAACUGCCACUGACAUUGAUGCUCGAAAGUGUGGGUAUCAAACAGGAUUAGAUACCCGAGUAGUC